CUACGGGGGGCAGCAGUCGCGAAUCUUUUACAAUGCACGAAAGUGUGAUAAAGCGAACCAAAGUGUUUUUCUUUUUGAAAAACUUUUCCUUGCUGUAAAAAGGCAGGGGAAUAAGGACUGGGAAAGACAGGUGCCAGCCGCCGCGGUAAUACCUGCGGUCCAAGUUGCAGCCAUUUUUAUUGGGUCUAAAACAUCCGUAGCUUGUUGAUUAAGUUUCUUGUGAAAUUUUAUAUCUCAAAUAUAAAGCGUGCAAGAAAUACUGAUCAGCUAGAGACCGGUAGAUGUAAGGAGUACGGCCGAGGUAACGGUUAAAUGUGUUAAUCUUGGUUGGACUAACAAUGAGCGAAGGCACCUUACAAGGACGGAUCUGACAGUGAGGGAUGAAGGCCAGGGGCGCAAAACGGAUUAGAUACCCGCGUAGUC
rnacentral:rRNA from 1 species